UAGGGAAUCUUCGGCAAUGGGGGCAACCCUGACCGAGCAACGCCGCGUGAGUGAAGAAGGUUUUCGGAUCGUAAAGCUCUGUUGUAAGAGAAGAACGUGUGUGAGAGUGGAAAGUUCACACAGUGACGGUAACUUACCAGAAAGGGACGGCUAACUACGUGCCAGCAGCCGCGGUAAUACGUAGGUCCCGAGCGUUGUCCGGAUUUAUUGGGCGUAAAGCGAGCGCAGGCGGUUUAAUAAGUCUGAAGUUAAAGGCAGUGGCUUAACCAUUGUUCGCUUUGGAAGCUGUUAAACUUGAGUGCAGAAGGGGAGAGUGGAAUUCCAUGUGUAGCGGUGAAUGCGUAGAUAUAUGGAGGAACACCGGUGGCGAAAGCGGCUCUCUGGUCUGUAACUGACGCUGAGGCUCGAAAGCGUGGGGAGCAAACAGG
rnacentral:rRNA from 1 species